GACGAACGCUGGCGGCGUGCUUAACACAUGCAAGUCGAACGGAAAGGCCCUGCUUUUGUGGGGUGCUCGAGUGGCGAACGGGUGAGUAACACGUGAGUAACCUGCCCUUGACUUUGGGAUAACUUCAGGAAACUGGGGCUAAUACCGGAUAGGAGCUCCUGCUGCAUGGUGGGGGUUGGAAAGUUUCGGCGGUUGGGGAUGGACUCGCGGCUUAUCAGCUUGGUGGUGGGGUAGUGGCUUACCAAGGCUUUGGCGGGUAGCCGGCCUGAGAGGGUGACCGGCCACAUUGGGACUGAGAUACGGCCCAGACUCCUACGGGAGGCAGCAGUGGGGAAUAUUGCACAAUGGGCGGAAGCCUGAUGCAGCAACGCCGCGUGCGGGAUGACGGCCUUCGGGUUGUAAACCGCUUUCGCCUGUGACGAAGCGUGAGUGACGGUAAUGGGUAAAGAAGCACCGGCUAACUACGUG
rnacentral:rRNA from 1 species